rnacentral:rRNA from 1 species
CCUACGGGAGGCAGCAGUGGGGAAUAUUGCACAAUGGGGGAAACCCUGAUGCAGCGACGCCGCGUGAGUGAAGAAGUAUCUCGGUAUGUAAAGCUCUAUCAGCAGGGAAGAAAAUGACGGUACCUGCCUAAGACGCCCCGGCUAACUACGUCCCAGCAGCCGCGGUAAUACGUAGGGGGCAAGCGUUAUCCGGAUUUACUGGGUGUAAAGGGAGCGUAGACGGCGCUGCAAGUCCGGAGUGAAAGCCCAUGGCUUAACCAUGGUACUGCUCUGGAAACUGUGGAGCUUGAGUGCGGGAGGGGCAGGCGGAAUGCCUAGUGUAGCGGUGAAAUGCGUAGAUAUUAGGAGGAACACCGGCGGCGAAGGCGGCUUACUGGACCGUAACUGACGUUGAGGCUCGAAAGCGUGGGGAGCAAACAGGAUUAGAUACCCUUGUAGUC